rnacentral:rRNA from 1 species
GAUGAACGCUGGCGGCGUGCCUAAUACAUGCCAGUCGAGCGAACGGACGAGAAGCUUGCUUCUCUGAUGUUAGCGGCGGACGGGUGAGUAACACGUGGAUAACCUACCUAUAAGACUGGGAUAACUUCGGGAAACCGGAGCUAAUACCGGAUAAUAUUUUGAACCGCAUGGUUCAAAAGUGAAAGACGGUCUUGCUGUCACUUAUAGAUGGAUCCGCGCUGCAUUAGCUAGUUGGUAAGGUAACGGCUUACCAAGGCAACGAUGCAUAGUCGACCUGAGAGGGUGAUCGGCCACACUGGAACUGAGACACGGUCCAGACUCCUACGGGAGGCAGCAGUAGGGAAUCUUCCGCAAUGGGCGAAAGCCUGACGGAGCAACGCCGCGUGAGUGAUGAAGGUCUUCGGAUCGUAAAACUCUGUUAUUAGGGAAGAACAUAUGUGUAAGUAACUGUGCACAUCUUGACGGUACCUAAUCAGAAAGCCACGGCUAACUACGUG